UGACCUCUCCGCUCCGCACAG
rnacentral:miRNA from 1 species